AUGUCUAAUCCAAUCUUUUUUUGCAGAAUGAUAUUUAGCAUCUUUGUUGGCUUUUGAUACAUUAUAUUUAUUAUAUUAUAUAGAAAAGCCGUGCUUGGUCGACCAAGGGUAGAAUUAUUAUUUUACUCUGUCAUUUUAUUUUUCAUACGCUGCCUCCAUAUUCUAGAACCGUCCACACUUUCAUCUUCUUUCUUAACUCUCUCGCUUUCCCUUCAUCUUCUCGGCUUUGGGUUUUACCACAAUUUUUUCUUAAAUCUUCUUCCACAUCUUUUCAAUUCAUCCUCCUCUCUUUUUCAAUCUUCUGUUCAUUACUCUUUUUUUUAAUGGAUUUCUUCCUAUUUUAUCAGCUUCUUGCUUGAAGUAUCUAUAUUUAUGGGUCUUCUACUUUGGAUAUUACAAGGUUCGGGUUAGUGUGUGAGCUAUUUUCUGUUUCAGUCUUUCUUCUAUUUUGUUUCAUUUUUUGUCUGUUAUUAUCCUUUGUUUGUUGUUAUUUAUUUUGGAUUUUCUUUUGUGCAUUUUGUUUCUUCUUUGUAUCUCAUGUUUAGUUUUUGUCUUCAUAUGCAGACUCUAUCAAUAUAAUACUUCUGCUUUCAUUUGUGGUCUAAGCUGACGGGGUUAAAUUUUUAGUUAAAUUUGAUUUAAGUUUCUUUUCAUUUGGUUUUCUUGCUUUUUCUUUCUGCCUCUUCUUGGUAGAAAAACACUACCAAUGGAACUGAGUUUAAUAUGGAGCAUGUGGGUUCUGCUACCUGAAGCUUGAGUUAGUUUUAAUUGGGUUUUGUUAUAUUUUUAGGUUUGUACUCAAAAGAUAGAAAAAUAUUUACUUGCCAUGGUAUUGAAAAACUCGACGCACCUUCCCCAUCACUUUCAGAAAGACUGAUUAUUCAUCAAAGAGAAGUUUAAGGAAGUCAUCCUUUUAAAGAAGUCUGAUGACUGAGGAGCAAGCUCUCAUGAUGGAGAUCAGGAAGAAUAUAAAGUAGCAGAUGUUUCCUGCAAUGUGCAAAUCCUUGCAAUACUCUAUAUGGCUCUUAACUUGACUACCUAAUUUCUAUUGUUCAUAGGUGGUAUAGCUUUGAUAGCAACAUAAUACGUUUGGUUAAUCAUGUGGUAUAUAAUGAUAGGUAGGAAAUGAACAAUUAGUCAUAUGCUUGGAUUUGGUUUUGUAAAUGAUUUUAAAAGAAAAGCACAACAAAAUGAAAUAUCUGCUCGGUUCUACACACGCCGGCCCCCUGGGGGAGGUAAAUAUGGUUUUCUAUGUCUCACUAUUUACUGAGAACGGAACUGUCUUUUUGUUUGUGA